GAUGAAGAACGUAGCGAAAUGCGAUAAGUAGUGUGAAUUGCAGAAUUCAGUGAAUCAUCGAAUCUUUGAACGCACAUUGCGCCCCUUGGUAUUCCAUGGGGCAUGCCUGUUCGAGCGUCAUUUGUACCCUCAAGCUAUGCUUGGUGUUGGGUGUUUUUGUCUUUGGCCCGCCAAAGACUCGCCUUAAAAUGAUUGGCAGCCGGCCUACUGGUUUCGCAGCGCAGCACAUUUUUGCGCUUGCAAUCAGCAAAAGAGGACGGCAAUCCAUCAAGACUCCUUCUCACGUUUGACCUCGGAUCAGGUAGGGAUACCCGCUGAACUUAAGCAUAUCAAUAAGCGGAGGA
rnacentral:misc_RNA from 1 species